CCGGGAGUUACACACCAACGAAUUUCUAAAGAAAGCCUAACAAAAAGGCAAAUAAAGCAAGAGGAUUCUCACAGACUCACUGCUGCAGGGCUUUAAAAUCUCAGCCUCAUCUAUUGAACACUAGCCCAGCUUCCCUCAACCCCUCAAAGCAGCAAGAUUUAUGCAAGCCUCCUGUGACAGCAGAGCUUCUGUCCCAUCAGUAGCCUUAUCAAAUCUGUCCUAUAGCCCCAUCAGACCUGAGCGAACACCUGCUUUCCAGGUGCAAGACCAUAGAGGCUGAGAAGGAAGAGAAGUCAGCAACAGAAAUAACCUCACUAACAGCAAGACCCCCAGAGAAGCUAAAAACAUUCCAGGCAGGGCUCACAACAGCUCUCAGAGCAGAAUUCCCAAGGCAUCACUUAUGGUUUCUACAAGAGCUUUUGCCUUGCUGUUCCUUCCCCUACAUGCGACCUUUCAGCCCCAGUGAGUCCAGAGGCUUUCUGCAGAGAGAACUGAGUCAGACUGUGAAGAAGAGGCUUUGGGCAGCUAAGAGUUCCAUGUGGAACUCCACUUUGUGAAGACAAGCUUAGUUAAAACAAGAUGAUGCAUUUGUGGAGUCACUUAACUGGGCACACAAAAACUGCAAAUGUCUCAGCAGCUCCAAAGCAGAGGAAGGAUGAAGGGUGGCUGCCAACCCCACUGCUUUGUGGAAGUUCCACACCUUGCUGAGGACACCUCAUGCCUCUCAUAGGAUCCUGACCUGCUGACGUACAGACAGAAUAUGUGAGAAAUACAGGAAUGAUAUAUCCCAGAUCAAACUGCUUCUUAAGCUCGUGUUAUGGAAGAAAAAGACAUAUGCAACAUAAUGGCAGCUCACUGCAGCUGAAGUAAUAUAAAGUCAAAGGAGUCCCUCUUGCAUCAGGAGUCCCUUUUGCAUCAGUACAAAGGAGUCCCUCUAAUGAUGAGAUAUUUGUGAGAUACCAAAAGGACUUUUUGGUGCCCUUAAGUAAUACCAUGUAGGUAGCUGCCAGUUGGUCAUGAAAGAAAAACUAUAGCUAUAAGCCAGAAGAGGAAACAUCUGCAGAGAUUCCUGCUGGAGUGCGAGCACUGCGAUGUGGUGAUGUGAGAGAUGGAAGAGUCCUGAAGUUCUUCCCAGGUCCCUCCUACCUCCAUCCUUCCCAGGAUCACCCAGGGCCACCUGACUCCCCCACUGUUCCAACCCCUGCCUGUUCUCCUGUCCACACUAGGGCUACAUGUGUUCUGAGCACAAAGAUAGAACCAGCAUCCUCUGCAUCGCUCACCUAUUCCCUCUGGAGGCUGACUGCUCUGGGGUCUCAGGGAGACCGGGAGGCUGCAGCUCUCUCCUCUGACACCUUUCUGAAUAGCACAGACAACUCUUCUCAAGACUCUCUGAGGCUGAGGCUUUCUGACAUUUAGUCUAAGGUCCCUGGGACACAACAGCAGAGGCUUCCUGCCCCUCACCUUUCAGUCAUCAGGACAAUGUUUUGUUGCUUGUUUGCUUCCUCAGCCACCCUUGGAGAUAGGCAGGAGACCUCAGAUAACCCCAGUUGUGAGAGAGAUCAUCGUGGUCUCAGAGAACAAAUGCUGCAGAUGCUGUCACGUCUCUUGCUCGACUGGUUAGAACCUUUUGGUUCCUUUGGGGAUGAUAAAAACACACCACGUUCUCCUCUUCUACAAUUCAUUCAAAAAGUUAGCAUCGGUUUCCAUGUUUUUGAUUCUGCCACCACUGCGAACCUAUUCUUCCAAGUGCCACAAAUAUUAUAAUAACAUUUCUCUUCCUAUUACUCUUCCUUCAAAUAAUUUCUAAGGAACAUACCCAAUAGCACAGGAAUCAGGUAGUCAGGGGAGCCAGGAGCCUGCAGACCUGCACUUUGCUUUGGAUUGUGGCUCUAUCCAUCCACUGUGUGCCCUUGAACAAGAUACCACUCUUGUCAGCCUCGAUUUCACCACUUGUUAAAGAGAUGUACCAGAGUUUGCUCCCCCUUCCUCAGUCUUUCCUCGAGGACUGGACGAAGCCACAUAUAUCACAGCGACAUGGGAUGUGCAGGGUAUGAUACAUGCGCAUUGUCAUCAGGCAGCAGAACAAAAUAGUUAACAGCGCAGAUGCUGGAGCCACACUGCCAGUAUUCUUCUCUGGAAAAUCAGGAUAAGGAUGUAGAUUGAAAGCUCUGAAAUCCCCAAAGCCCAGAAAACCAAAAGCUUUUUCAUAAGUGGCAUACUCAAACUUAUUUGGUGUCACAUUCAAUGUGAUGGUUUUGGUGGGCUUUGUCUAGCCCACUGGCUGCAGAAAUGUCCAUGUGCUUGUUUACUAAGUGCUGCCCUAGACCCCUCUGGGAAUCAUUACACAAUACACAGUGUAGGCACCAUAUUGUUUUUCUAUGAUAUGAACAAUUCAGUAUUGGAAACACAUUUGGCCUCAAGGAUUUUGGAUAUAGGAUUGUGGGCCUUCAAUACUGAACUCACAGGGCUGCUAUGAGCAGUCAGUUGAUUCAGGUAAAGCUCUAAUAAGAGUGUCUGGCCCACAGUAGGUGCUCAAUGGAUGUUACCUGCCAUUACUGUUCCUUCUUUUAUGCAACCCUGAGCACCUCGAACAAUUUCCACAUUGCCCUGGACCUCCUAUUUGUGCCCUGGAACCAUUAAUGUCUGGAUUUCUCUCUAUUCAAUCACACAGCACCAGACUCACCUGAGGUUCUGUCUUCUCAACUCUCCACCAAAAUGCUCUCCUUGUUAGGAAUGUGGAAAUCCUCUCGGUAGCAACCCUCACACCCUUCCCUCUGCCUUCUUGGUAGUGAAGGAGGCUGGGAGAGGGCUCUGGGAAGAAUCCCAGCAGUGUCUCAGACACCUAGCUCACCCCGACAUACCUCCUAUGGGCUGCAUGGCUGAGAUCCCAUAUGUGUGGGUGCAGCUCUUCUUCCUUUAGAGAAAUUAAUCCCACCUUUCUAGACCUCUGUUUCUCAUGAAUAAAACACAACAGUCAGCCUAGAUGAGAAUGACAUGCCUUCUGGCCCCCUGAAAUCCUACCUCCCGGACAUCUUGGAUGCCACUUCAGCAGUCAGGUGAUGUGAGAUGGGGGAUGAAAGCUACCUCACUUCAGCUCCAAGUAUGGUAGUACAUCCAGCCCCAAGAGGGCCAAAUGCAAAGCAUUCUGGAACUUUGUUACCACAAGACAUUAGAUCCUCUUUUCCUGACUCCUGGGUACUGAAACCAACCUGACUGUAGAAACAGGCCUUUGGUCAUCCUCUGGACAAGUUCAGACAUGAACUGGACAGUCUCACAUUCAAGGAGGUGCAGCUGGGAGCCAGAGGGCUGCAGGCAAGGAUGCCACACACUGAUUCAGGCAGAGACCAGGCAGCACACUGACCAGUACCGGGAUCUGGUCCAAAGACAAUAGAACCCUGAUGUGGUGGUGAGAGAGGCUGAGGCAGGAGCAGGAGAGGGACUUUGGAGAGUGACUGUGGUUCAGGGUAGGGUUCUAGUUCAGGAGGGAGACACAUAUGAGGGAGGGUGUGUGAGGAGAGGGGAAACAUGACAGAAGACUGGUGCUGUAGACUCGGUUACCCAGAGGUGGGGUGAAUCACCAUGACCCUAAAAUCAUGGGCUCCCAGGGCUCUUUCCUAGAGCACCAAAUGCUGCCAUAUUGUGACAAGACACUGUUAGAUGCCAGUCUCACCUCCCUGUUAUCCUUAUGAAAAGAACCCAAUUUUAUUUUAGAAACAGUCUAACUGAUUAAAAACACUUACAUCCCCAGAGUCCCAGGUAUGUUUAGUAAGCUAAGCAGACAUUCCUGCAAAGGGCUGCAGGAAAAUGUGUUAAAGGGGUCAAUUCAGUUGGCAUUUGCUUUUCCCCUUUAUCCUUUCCCCCCUUUUUUUGUGCAUGGAACUCAUACAGGAUGCUGAAAGAAAAAACAGCCGUCUAGUGAGCAGGAAGCCCCAAGUCACAGGCUCAGCCUGGGGGAUCUGAAAGCUAAAAGAAGCCGAAGACCCUGAUGGCUCUGGAGAAGUCACAAGACAGCCCUGAAUGCUCUUGCAGCCUCCUGUCAUGUCAUAAGACCCCCAUUUCAAGAGGGUCCUGCUGCAUACCCAGAAGGAAGGAAUACUGCACAGAGAAGCUAAGAGGAAUUUAAACAGACAGACCUUGCUGGACUUUCCUACUCAGUCUAUUAACAUUAGAUCAUACCCUUUCUGCCCAGUUAUUUUUCUCCAUGGCUGUCCGUACUUCAUUGAACCCAAGCCUAAAAAUGGGCAGUUUCCCCGUAUCUUUGGGUCUUUAUUCUGAAGGCUCCGUGUAAAACUGUAAUCAAAUAAAUCUGUAUACCUUUUC
rnacentral:lncRNA from 10 species